rnacentral:lncRNA from 1 species
CCGACGCGUCGACACCCGCAAUCAAAUGUCCGCGGUCGAAAUCGGUUAAAACCGCGAGUAUGUAUCGUAUAAUAAUAACAACGUAUCCUUUUUUUUUUUAUCCCCCCGAAAUGCACCGAAAUCGCGUAACGGUCGCGCCCGAAAACCGCACACGCAUACGGUUAGGUCUCCGUCUCAACAGGGUCGGUAGACAAAAAACCGCACACUCCAUUGUUCGACGGGCGGGUAGGACAGCCGAUUCGGUGCACUCUAGUUGCGUAGUAGUUUGCGUAAACGGCGUACACGAAUCGCGUCCCACCGGUCGGGCGGUAGAGUUUUAUUUCGUUUUAAGAGGUUCUCCGCGAUGCGUUCGUUACAAGGGAGUCCGACGUUGUUUUUCGGCGUAUUACACAUCGCGUGUCUAAUGUUAUAAAUCACGAUAACGGAUGAAUUCUGUUACCGAUGCCUGGUUAAUAAGCAACGAUAAGCAAGUUCGUAUCGUUAUUAUUACUGAUAUAUAUUUAUUUUUUUACCAGCAUUUCGAUCGAUACCGUUAUUGUUAUUAUUAAUAAUAUUUAUUAAAUUUACGAUAUUACGGACAAUAUUAAUUUUGAUUAGACUUAAGUGAUUUGACAUUUAUUUAUUUAUUUUUUUUUUUUUUUUUAUUACAUUUGAUAGACCGAUUUUUGAUUGACUCGUGUUUACAUUUAUAAUCGUUAGGUAUUUAUUUAUUUAUUAUUUAUUUUGAUUUAAGUUCCCCCGAUUAAAAUACACGAUUUGCGUCCCAAUAAUUAUGUAAACAUUUUUAAACCGAUAUUUUUAAUUCUUUAAAAAACGUCAGUUUUUUGAUUAAAAUCUCGAUCAUUAUUUUUUUCAUUUGACUUUAUAUUGAUUAUAUUUCAUAAUAAGUAUUUAACAACACUAAUUAAGAUGCAAUUACAAUACUUGAUAUUUUAUUUUAUAUAUUUUUAGAUUAAUUAUUAAUAAAUAAUCGAUUAUACAACAUUAUUGUGAAAUGUGCGAUUUUCGGAUAUAAAAAUUAAAAAAGUAUGCGGUUUCAACCUGCCGAAAACGUGCGGUUCGGUCCUGUGUUUUAUCGCGAGUGUGCGGUUUUCGGAUUCGUCGGUUUGUAACAACGGCCGCGGCACCAAUAUCCACGCCGGCUACGAAUAGCCGCCGAGUGGCGGUGCCGAGAAAACGUACCGUUGUUUUUUUUUUUAUCGUUUGCGGCGGAAACGCGUUCGCGUCACGGCGGCAGCGUGACGCUAAAAAAUUAUCGGCCCCCGGCGUGGUGACGAAUUGUUCGCCGGCCGUUUUAUUGUCGAAUAUGUUUUACCGAUCGACCCGCCGCCGCGCAGUCACCGCUGUACCGAGGCCCGAGGACCGCGUAUAUUCGCCGUGACGGCGGCUACUACGGCGGUGGCUGUGGCGGCAGCAGCAGCAGCACCAGCGGCCGCAGCAGCGACAACAACAAGUGCCGUGUAAUUCAAUUGCGCGCGGUGGUGACGAGUGAAUCGCUCAUGUGGUACACGGUGACGGCGGCGGCGGUGGCGGCGGCGGCGCGCCGCUGCUGGACGGGAGCGAGACGGUGUGAGAGACGUGUAAAACACAUACACUGUGAGCCCUCACAUACAUACAUAUAUAUAUAUAUAUAUAUACAUAUAGUGCCGUCCACCGAUGCUGCUGCUACCGCCGCCGCCGCCUCUGCCGCUGCCGCCGCCGCCGCCGCCGCCGCCGCCGCCGCCGUCGAGGGACCGACCACCUCUGUUAUUGAUUUCCCGGCCGGCGACGGAGGUUCGCGCGCGCUGUACGGCUAUAUCGGCUUGUCUCUCUCGCCGCCGACGCCGAUGGUAUUGCCGCUGCCGGCGGUGCCGUUGUUGAAUCGGCGCCCUAUACCGCCGUUCCCUCCAACGAUCGGCCGCCGCCGCUGCCCGCGACGACGACGGCGACGACGACUGCAGCCGUCCGUCCGAAUAACUCCGCGUGUCACUCGAUCGGUCACCACCGCCGCCGCCGCGAAAAACGUUCUCGCUCACGUCAAAUUUCCCGUUUGUCCGCGCCCCCGGGGGGGAUUUUUAACCGAUUUUGAAUUAUGCGCGUAAGGGAUGACGAACACGAAUCCGAUCACGUCCCGCCGCGACGCCGCUAAUUUACCAAUCUCCGCCUGUUCCGAUUUCCGUCGAUUCGUAUCGAUAGUGUGCAUGUUUUUUUUUUUUUUUUCAAAAACUUUUGAUAAACACAAUCUUCGAUCGCGGCGCCAUGCAAAUAAUCCAAACGUAUUAUCAUUCGAUAAAUGCCCAUCCGAACGGCGCGCGGCUGCAUAAAACACAAAUCGAAAUACCGCACUCCUUGUAUUGUGUACGCGCAUGAAUAAUAUAUAAUAAUACGUCCGAACGUGUUAACGUCACGGAAAAACCGAUCGGCUUGCACAAUGCGAAUUUCUUAUCACGGGCCCGCGAAAGUUUUUACUACAUUUGAUUUCGGGGUUGUUUUUUUUUUUUUAUUUUUUCAAUCGCUGUACUACUAUAGAAACGUUUCGCGAUAUCAUUUACAAUAACGCAAACGAAAUUAUACCCGUGUACCGUAUAUUAUUACAAACACGUCCUAUCGCGACGUUCGAUUUCCUGCAAAUAGCAUACAUCACGUUUUCGUGAAUUGGCGUUCGACAAGAUACGUAAAUGUUCUCGAAAAAUAUAAUACUUUAUGCAUUUUCUAUUAAAUCUUCAUGGAUGAUCGCUAGUUCUUUAUAGGUGAAAAAAAAAUCAUCCUUCGUAUUGGCCGAUUAGAUUGUCAAUAUCACGAAUAUUAUCGCCAAACUAAAGUCUUUGGAUACAAAACAAUAAGUAGUCAAAAAAUGAAAUUUAAGUUACAAGUUACUUUUUUUGAUAAUUAUUAAAUUGACUAGUUAAGAAAAAUAAUUGACAUAUAACAUUAAAAUUAAAAUCAUUUAAUCGUUUUUUUGUGUACCUUUGGUUUUUUGGGGUUUUUUUAAAUUUAUUUUUCAAUAAAAAUUACGUCUUUUUACGUGUAUAUUAUUGUCACAUAACAAGACAGGCAUAUGGCCUUUGCAGGAUUAUGAGACGCCCGUACGAAUCACGUACAGUAAGUCUAUAAGAAUCUAGUAACUAAUAUAAAUAUUAGAGUACAAAAUACGUUUGUAAAUGUAUAGUAAAAGGUAAUUUUAAAUAGUAACUUUUAACUUAACAGAGUUAUAAUUUUCAUAGAAAUGUGUAACAUAACUUAGUUUAUCAAACUCAUUUAAAUUUCAAAAUAUUUUUCCUAAUAUAACUCAACUUGAACUAGUUAAAACAUUUGAUUAACUUGUCCAACUUUGAUAGUAUCGUAUACCUACUUACCUUUAAAAAUUCUGAAGCGCCAACAACAUCAGACACGAACGAAAUAGUUCAAUAUCGUAUCGCAUCGCUUAAUAUCUCUAUUCUACAGAAUUAUCAUGGUUUAUACACUACCAGAGUGUUCGGUAUCGAAAUAUGUUUGAAUAUAAUAUUAUUCCGGAAUAGUUGUAACUGAACAUCUCAAUUAAGUGCACGACCACCGAAACACGUGUUAAAUUACCUGAAACGUAGGUUUAAAGUGUGAUGUGUGUUGUGUGAUACGCAAGUGUAAAAGAAAUAUAAUAAAAGGUUAGAUUUAUAUUGUAAUAAAUUAUAUUAUGCGUAUAUAUUGUAUACAGUUAAUAAUAAGACGCGUUUUGAGAUUUUAAAAUACAUUUGGUAGGUAAGAAAUAUAUAAAAAAAAAAAAAAUUGUCAUACUUCACACGUAGGUGCAGCCACUGUUGUAGGUGGGAGGUUGGGAAUGUAGGCUACAUACGGUAAUUUAAUGUACAUCUGUAAGCAUUGAUAAACCAUUGCUAAAGAAAAACGAUUCUGAGUGGAGUUCAGUUGAUAGUGUUGCUUUGUGAACAAAACAAUAUGGUAUAUGGUAUAUGUCAUAUUAUGGUAAAAUGAUUACAACAAAAUGCGUUUCCAUGACAAAAAUGAUUGUUUAAAAAAGAUUAAAAUAAUAAAAACUUAAUAAUAACGAAAAAUAAAUAAAAACGGUUGCCAAUGACAAGCUUAUUUUUAAUAUUUCAAAAUGUUUUCCUCAUUAUCUCAAAUAUUAAUGAGAUUUUUAAAAAAUUACCCCUUUAAAGCACCACCCAGAGAACAUUUCCUUUCAGAAAAGGUACUAUACUUGAAAAUCGGAGUAUGCUUUCUAGUGGAAAAAGUGUUCGCACAAAAAAAAACAAAUAAAUAAACAUCAUUUUAAAACCAAUACAAUCCUCGUUCCACUCAGAAUCUAAAUAUAUAUAUAUAGUAUAAAAAUCCUGAAUAGUAGAUAUAUAUACAUUCAAAACGCGCGGAGAUAUCGCCAGCUCCGAAAACAAAAUAAAUAUAGAGAAUAUAACCGUUUAAAGUGCUUCUAAGGGUUGUAGAUUGCCAAAGAAACCUAAAGGCUAAACGUAUCUACAUUAACUAACUGUAUAGCUGUAUAGAUCGGCAGAAAAGUUAAUUCGCAUGACGUACAGAAUUUAAGAGACGGACGGAACACCGUGCCAAAUAUAGAUACGAGUCGGAAGGAAAUGAUGAUGACGACUACGGCAACGUAAACCGACCGCGAAAAUAUAAACACCGAGGUACAGAAAACUACUAUAUAUCGGAAGUUUUGAUUAAAGUUUAAUUGGCCUGUUUUAGGUCUCGGUAUUAAUUUACAAAGAAAUUAAUGAUGAAUUAGUUAAUUAUAAUUAUUAAUUGAAUUGCGUGAUGGUUACAAUAUUGCAAAAGUCUAUUAUAAGUAUGAAAACUAUUCCCCAAAAGGGAAUCGCGCUAACUACCCACGUAUACAAGUCAACGCUUAUAACUGUGUAAAAACUGACAUUUUUAUUAUUUAAUACACGGACGAAAUUUUAUAAGAAGUUUUUCUUUAAUUAAUUUUAUUAUUAAUUACGUGUUGUACAUUUUAAAUUUCGGUUCUAAAAAUAAAACAUAAAACUAUGUACUUCAGAAUAUUUUACCAUACAGAUACUCGAACGACACAAGUAUUCUAUAAGGACUUGUCUAUAAUAAUGCAUUUUAAUUUUUUUUUCAAUUUUCAAGCGUACGCAUACUUCGCACCAAAUGAGUCCCUUUUUUUUAAAAAAAAAAAAUAAUAUUAUUUUACUGAAAUCUACGAUAAAUCAAAACAUUUGACAAUUUUAUAGCAUGUUUUUAUUUCUUCCUCUUUAGUUUCGUACAACGAAUUAAAUGAUGCACAUAAUUCCCUUUUUUUUUUCCACAAUUAUAUGUAAUAAUAUUUAAAAAUAUUAGAAAUAAAAAUAAAAGUUUCAAAGCAUAAAAUCUAUUAUUUUGUAAAAGUUUAUUCUUCUAGUAUACAUCGGAAUCUACUAAAACUCUAAUAAACUAUUAUUAUAUUGUUCAUAAAUCAUAAUAUACAUAUUAAAUAUGUAUACACAAAAUUAUAGUAUUUUCCUUGAGUUCACAAAAUAUCGAAACAAUCUGAACUAUUAUUUAGGCUUUUGGGUAACAAAUGACAUUUUUAAACAACAAUAAUUUAAAUUGAGAACAUUUCAAAACAAUGUAUGGAUAUAAAUAUGUGAACCUAUCAUCGAUGAAACGAUGCAGAACCAACGUAGGAGAUACAAUAAAAAAUUGUACGAUAUGAAAAACUUGCACCAGUAACAAGCUUUUUUGAUGUCCAACGGAUGCAAUGGCUAUCUAAAUGAGAAUGAUUCAACUAGAAUAGCAUUGAAAUAAGAUUCACAUGGAAGAAGAUCUAGAGGAAGAUAAAUUGGAGGUUGGAUGUAAUAGAAGAAAAUCUAAGAGCCCUAGAAGUUGAAGACUGGAGAAAGGUGACAUGCCAGAAGAAGAUGAAUUAAGACGUUUUCCGAAUUUAUAAGGUUAAACCGUAAUAAAAAUAUGUAUACUUAUUCGGAAAACUUUUUUUCAAACAAAAAUAUUUUAAAAUUCGUUAGAAAUUUAAAUUUAUUAAUACAGAUAAUCGACUAUGACUUUAAUAAUUUAACGAUAAUUUAUUAAUCUCGUUUAAAUAGUUAUAAUAAUAUGUUUAACGUGUUCUCGCGAAUACGUGUGCGCAAAAUGUUUUGUAAAAUAUUCAAUAUUAUGUCGAACGAAUUCUUUAAUAAUUAAUUUAGUGCGGUGUUAUAAGUUUAUGACGGUUAAAAGUUUGGUAGUAAUAUCACAUACUUAAUAUAUGUGACGGGAGAUUAUUCGACUCUCGCCCACGCGCGGCAACGUUUAAAAGAUCGCUGUGCACACCUAAUGUUAUAUAUUAUGUACUAAAGUGUAUUCCAUGGAGGAUUUCCUUCAAACGCAGCAGCUGAAAAGGUGAAGAGCAUAUUAUUAUUACUCCUCCGCGCGGCUAUAUAUUAUUAUAUUACACAUACCUACUUACUUACUGACUUCCAAAACGUCCUAAAUCAAUAUAACAUUAUACGUUAUCUAAUAAACUAGGUAGGUAUUUGUUCUAACAUAUUGAAUACAUAUAUCGCGUGGGUUUUUUUUGUUUUGUUCACUUUAAGUUGUAUUCGUUUAAAGAAAAAAAAAAAAAAAAAACGUAAAACAUAAUAGUCUCUGUAGACUACAAACUAGGUUGGUAAAAAAAUAAAAAUGGAAUUUUAACAUCUUUAUGAACGCAAAAGUUAUUAUAUUAGUGAAAAUAUAUUUAUUUUUUUUAAAUAAAUUCUCGUGGGAUUCAUCCUACCCCUACGUUAUAUAAAUUAUAAAGUGAAAAAUAUACCCGCUCAAUUAAAAUUAUAUUACUCCAAAUACUUUUAUAACUUUCCCGUUUUCAAAUAAUGAAAAUGCCCAUAACUUUUUAAUAUUAAUAUCGCAAUUUAUAACAAUCCGGACAUAAUAUACUUCACCUUUUGCAGAAUGAAAAUUAUGACACUUUCAUGACAAAAUUAAAUUUCAAGAAUUUCAUCGAUUAUAUUGUUUUAAAAAAAUAUAGUAAUCUUAAACAUUUGAACAGGAUAUUUAUUUACAGUGCCUAGAUAUAGGCUAUUUUUUAGAAUCUUCUGUCAAUUUUGGGUUCCAUAAAAUAAUCUGAAUUUUUAAACAAUUUAAACCGCUGUAAAUAAAUCUAAAAACCGUUGAUAACAAGACAUUUUUUUAUUUUUUUAGAUUCCUCUAUUUUCUAAUACAUAGAUAUAAAUUUAUUAAAUAAUAAUAAUCGUAAAUAGAACAUACAAUUGGCUUUCACGUCACAAGAAAAUAAUUAAAUAGAUUAUCAACUUUCCAACGAGCGAAUUGUUUAAUAUAAUAUUUAGAACGGAAUUAAACCCGAAACAAGGGUUAAGCAACUGUCGAAAUCUAUAAUUCACUUGAUUUAUGAUAGUUAUUUCGUCCAAUAAAAAUUAAAUUCAUCAAAUUUGUAUAAUUUUUGAAUUAAUAAAAUAAAAUAUGUAGGUACUUAUAUUGGGCGUUAAUUUACUACCUACAUAAUAUUCUUUAGGGAUCAAAAUAGCGGGGAAUUCCGGGUUUUUAUCAGGGUAAAUUUAAAACUUAGAUAAUUUAAAAAUUGUUGUUUUCUAAGAAAAUAAAAAUAUUUUCAAAAUAGUUAAAGUUUAAAAAAAAUAAUAACAAAACAAAUUUUCCAGAAUUUUUUCAAAAAAACCUGUUUAAACGCACGUUAAUAUAACAAAAAUAAACAUUUUAAAUACAUAAAACAGACUCAAAUAUAGUAUUACGCACAAACAACAAUGUUAAUAAGAAUAUAAUGCAAUAUUACUAUGCAAAAAAUAAAAAAAACACGUAAGAAAACGACGACGUACCUAUAACAAUAACAUGUAGAAACCGAGAUAAUAAUAAACUCCAUUGUAUGUGAAAAUAUGUAAUUUGUGUUUAAAUAACAUUAUACUAUAAGGAAACGGAAUGAAAACUAUUAUGGAUAUUAUUAUCAUGUUGAAUAAUGAAACCGCGUUUUUUCGACCCCAAAAUUGUAUAUACAAAAAUUAUCAACAUGUAAGUAAAUAAUAAUGAUUCAUAAUAAUAAGUUUUAUCAACCACUAUCAUAAUAAUACUAUUCUAUACUAAUAUUAUAAUAAUACUAUACAUACAGUGUGUUCGUGUUUUCUGAAAGCAUUAAAUAUUUAUUGUUUAAACCUUUACAAUGCGUGCGUGCCACAAUCUAACCUUACCUACAAAUCAUUUUGUUUGAAUAGCAAUCUCUAUUUAUGAUGCUGGAUCCAAAUGGUCCGAUUUUUUUCAAACAUCUAAUCAUUACAUUUAUUUUUAAUCGCAACAAUCUUUUGAGAUACAGCCAUCCGAUAAAGUUGGGCAAAAAAUAAAAUUAAAAUGUAUCGUUAUUAAUUGUUAUGUACGUGGCAUUUUACGGUUAUCUAUACAAACUUUUUUCCCAUAAAACAGAAGUCAAAUUUCAUCAAAUUUAAAAUCAAAAACUUUAAAAUUUUUGAAAAAUUAUACUUUUUAACCAAAUUUAAAUGGAUGUAUCUUCGGUAAUUUUUGAGAUAAAAAAAAAUUACAAAUUCUGUAAAAAAUAGAUUAAUUUGAAUUUUAAUAUCGAAAAUAGAUUCAAAAAAAACUGUUCAGAGGCUAUUAAAAAAAAAAAGGAAUUUGUAUUACGUAUACACUUAAAAACUCGGAUACUAUAAAUAAGUAUGACUAAGCAUAAAAGCCUACGAUAAAAUAUUUCAGAAUACGACAUUAUUUAAGGAAUGCCAUAUUAAUUUAAUAAAAUAUUACGACCGUUUUCAAUGAUUGUAAAAAAGGCCAUUUUCCAGUCUUGAAUAUCCAUCGUCUAAAUCAAGUUUAAUUUGAAAAUCAAUAUGUUAUUCCUGUAUUAUGUUUGAUUUUACAUAACGAGUUCAAGUUCUAAUAUUAGUUUUUAGGUUUUUCUGAUUUACGUGAAUAUGAUUUCGAACGAUUUUCCUCUUGAUUUUUACGAUUUCUUUUAAAUUGUAACUUAUAACACUUAUUAAAAAAAAACUUCUACAUUACGAUUAACUACCAACAAGAUCCAGGGCCGUUUAGAGGGGAUCAACGGGACCGUUUCAUAUCAGAACCUAUUUUUGAAAUAAUUUUAGGGGCCUCUCUAAAAGUCUUGAUGUAUAAGAUAAUAAUACAUGUGCUAGGAUUUAGAAUUACUCGAUGUUACCCAUAAAAAUAAAUAAAACUAAACUAUAAAACUAUAAAACCAAAUUGCAAAAAUUAAAAAAUAUUAUCGAUAUUCCUACUAAAAACAAUCAUUAACAACCUAAUCUAACUGAAUAAUACUAAUUCUACCGUACACCACAUUCGCAUGACCGAAAAAUCCAACAAUCCGUUGGAAAGAUAAUCCCUAUAUAAGAUUAUAUAAUAAAACGAUAAUCCCGAUAUUCUCGUUUUACACGGGCAAUAUAAUCGUCGCCGAAAACCCAAAGUCCUAGACUAACACCGACCGCCGAUCGUUCGUCGGGUUUGAAAAGCGAACCUCGGACGGGGGUGGUAUAUAGUUAUCGUAUAAUAUUAUAUGGAGUGGUGUUACGUGAUGACGGUGUUUAUGAACGGAAGUGGUGGAAGGGAUGGGCGCGGUAUUAUGGCGGGACAGGAACGGCCGGGACAAAAUCGCGGUAGUUUUCAAGAGACGAGUCGCGGCGGGGUCACGAUGAGAACGGGGGUGGGGGAGGAGUAACGUAGCAGGAGAGGUGCGGCGUAGAGGACCGUUCACUCAAAAUUAGUUCCGUUCGGUCCCUUUAGCAAACAACAUAGAGACCUUUACCGAUAUAUACGCGGUAUAAUAUAAAGAUAGAACGAGAGAGAGAGAGAGAGAGAGAGAGACAGCGAGAGUGAGAGAGAGAGCGUGUGAGAAAGUGAGAGAGAGAAAGAGAGGGCGCGUCACUAACCGAGAAAUAGAGCCCUCUAUUCGACUAAAAACCAUCAUCUCGCCUCGGAUAGUGUAUACGCGCGCGGGCGUGUGUGUAUAUAUUUACGUACGUAUACAUGUAUAUAUACAGUACGAAUUUCGCUUGUGAAAUACGACCAAAGCACAUAUACACACACCAACCCUUGCACACCCUAUAUGUAUAUAUAUUCGUGGAACGUAUACAUACACCCACACACACACACAUACGGUCACACGCACGUAAAUGUAAACACAUACACACUAUAUUAUAUGUAUAUAUAUAUAGCGCUACUCUAUGUGCAUACAUAUGUGUGCGUGCGUGUGCGUGUGAGUGUGUGUGUGUGUGUGUGUGUGUGUGUGUGUGUGUGUGUGUGUGUGUGUUUGACUUGUAAACCUCAUCCCGGACGAUGACGUCUAUGUCGACGCGCCCGUUUGAGGAUCAAUACCGCCGCCGAUACGUGCGAUGAGCUCGUUUUAAGCGGCCGUUCCAAUCCAUAUUCGCGCGUAUAAUAAUAUGAUAAUAAAAAUCAUAAUAAUUAGGGCUCGGACUUAAUCGCGUGAAAGAGUGACUAAAACUGAUUGCGUUCUGUCUUUGAUCCCUGGGAUUGCAUGUCAUUUACAUAGAGAUAAAAACGGAGAAAAGUAAGGGAAAAAAUUGCCGAAUAUUGACUUUGUUCCCCAUUUUCUCUGGGGCCAUAGAUAAAUAUUCCUCUGAAAAUACCUUACGUAAUUCAAUCUAAGAUGUGUAGAAAAAAAAAUGUUCAAAAUCUGAGUAUGGUAUUCAGAUAGACAACUGUGUUUGAUAAAACAAAAAAAAUAAAUAAAAAUUCAACUAAAUUUCGAUGUUGCGUGGAACCAAGAGCACUUUGUUUCUUUUAUUUUCAAAAUACAUACCUAAGUAAUCUUCUGUUCUCUUACUAAAAAAAAUAUCGAAAAAUUGCUUUAAAGUUAUUUAGCGUUAUUAAUAAAAUCAAUUAAAAAUUAAUUAAUUAUAAAAAAUCUAUUAUAAUAUGUUACAUAAUACCGUCCCUGUGUAAUAAAUUCCGUUUCCUAACAACGAGAAAAAAAAAAUAAUAGUUUCUGAAUCAAUAAACGUCGAUCCUCGACAGUGUAUUACGCGAUCAUUCGAAACACGAAUGUUCACGAAGCGUGUGUAUUCCGGAUUAAUAUAUUACGCAAUAUCAUGGAGAGGACGCGGUAUAGUUUUUACAACGAAAUCGCGUAUGUCUGCUCUAAUAAUACGUGCGUGCGGAAAAAAACAAAAAAUAAAAAAAAAAAAUGUUGUAACACGUUAUUUCUGACCGAGCUACAGCAGCCGAUGACUAUGACGAAAAAUACAUUCCGCCCUCCCUCCUUCUCGCCCCCCCCUCUCAUUCGCCCGGUGCGUGCCGACACCGGUUCUUAAUCCGAAACACCGGUAUGUAUGUGUGUGAUUUGUGCGCGUACGUAUACAUACGUGUAUUAUUAUUAUUUUUUUUCCACUCUUUCGUCUCUCGCAUUAUAAAACACACAUAUAUAUAUGUGUGUGUGUGUGUGUGUGUGUGUGUAUAAAUAUAAUAACCCUUCAAAUCAUUACGUAUGCAAACGCGUAUGUAAUCUCGGCAGGGUUGGCCGGACACAUUCGUUAUGAAUUAUCCGCAGAGACCUUUAAUCCGGAUGCGCGCAGGCAUCGCCGCCGUCGUUUUACAUUGAAAGCGCAAUGGUUUCGAUCUACUGCGUAUAUAUAUAUAUAUAUGUUUAUACACACACACACACACACACACACACACUACACCUACCCUUUGCCCCGCCGACAGCCUCUGAUGAACAAUAGCUUUUGUUUUGUGUGAACGCCACCAAGCUCCCCUCCCCCCCCCCCACUUCCCCCUUCAUCGUUCCACCGCGCCGCCGUUCCGUGGAGCACUAUACGUAUAUUAUUAUUAUUAUUAUUAUUAUUAUUAUUAUUAUUAUUAUUAUUAUUAUAUGAUAAGAAGUAUACAGUACAGCGUAUACACCUACUACACGCUAUACAUACGACCCCGCUGCAACGAAGACUGCAGCAUCCGACAUGGGCGAAUUAUAUAAAUUUAUAUGCCUACUUUUUUCUUUUUUUUUUUUUUUUACAGUUUUUUUCCUCCCGCGUCUCCUACUCGGAGAAAUGUCCAUCGAUUUAAAUAAUUCGAACAAUGGAUCGUGCGCGUACAACACACACUCCGUACGUUUAUAUUGUUAUUACGUAACAUAAAAAUGUAUAUUAACAGUUUAAUCGAUUAUAUGCCAGUGUUAUGAUACUGAGAAUUUGUACUGACACAUUACGAUUCGCUUUUAUUAUUUCUUCAAUCCCGAGGAAGAAAUCAAUUUUCUUUAAUUUUUUUUUUUUUUUAUAAUUAUAUGACUCAAGGCAUUUACAACGGUUAUUUAACAAUUUUAGCAGUUCUGCCGUUGUGCCGUUUACCAAUUUUCAACAUUUAAUUUAUUUUGUUUAUUUUAUUUUUAAAAUUGACUUAUGCCUUUUUUCCUCGAGACCAACGAUUUAGAUUCACGGUAUUUUCUCGCGCGUUCUAUUGCGUUAUUGCAGUUAUUAUUUUUAUUUUUUUGUUUUGUUAUGUUUUUGGUUAUAUUAACAUUUAAAAACGUACCUACGUGCAAAAAUAAUGGUAUUUUUACAAUAAAAAAAAUAUAUAUGUAUAGCUACGUCAUUUAUAACCGUAAAAUAACAUUAAAAAAAGUAUCGUAAAUAAAAAAAAUGUAGGUAUAGGUAAGGUGUUGUCAAACAUAAUAUACAAAUUGUUUUUAGGUACGCCAUAUUGACAAAAAAAAAAAAGAAAAAAAAACUGUACAAUUGGUAUCCCGAGUAUGUUUUAUUUAGUCGGACGUUUUGACCGUAAUGGUUCGACGGUCAUCUUCGCGUGGUCGUGUUCACUACGACGCCAGACGAAUCAGUCAAAGUAGUCAAAAUGUCAGACUGGAUAUAUAUUUACGAGUCAUGUGCCGUGAGCCGUCCAAUAAUAAAUCAAAUAUUCCUCGAGAAAACUCAAAAACAAUAACACUUUGAUAAAACAAUAUUCCGUAUUUCGUUUUAAACAUUAAGAUAUUUUGAUUUCGAAUCGACGAAAACAUACAGAUUUAUGUAUAGGUAAAAAAAAAAAAAAAUGUAUGGUUUUACUCGAUGUAUUUCAUUUAUAAAUUUAUGGAAAUCCUAGGUUUUAUUUUAUUUUUUUUUAUUUUUUUUUUUUUUUUUUUUUUUUUUUUUUUUUUUGUAAAAUUCUUCAAAGAAUAUGAAGGUUUUCAACAACAGCAUACACAAACGACUGGGUAAAGUACCGCAACGAUUGAAAAAAGUGUAUAAAAUUCAAUAAAGCGUCCUCUUUAGAACUGCAGUAGCAGCAGUAGUAGCGGUACACGAGAAUGGAGGUAAAAUAUCGUUUUAACAUAAUUUUAUUAUGGUAAUAAAAAACUGUUGGUUUUUGUAUACAACUAUGUUAUCGCAAUUUCUGAAUAAAAAUACCGGACAAAUACAUUUUAAAGAGUUUAUGGCCUUACGCUCGCGCACGUUAUAAUACGAAAUAAAAUAAAAUAAUAUAAUAUAGCACUUAGGUUCUGCAAAAAAAUUCAUUAAAUUUUACUCGUGGCAAAAAAAAUUAAAAAAAAAAAAAAAAAAACUUAAAUAUUUAUAAGAACGACCCGUAGUUGGUGCGUACGCAUAUAUUUUUUCUUUUUCGAAUCUCCCCGUGAAUAUUAAUUAUUAACAAUUUGUUGAUACAUUAUUUAAAAAAAAAUAAUAAUAAAAUCUACAUUCUAUACUAGCAGCCAUAUAUGUAUACAUGUAUAACAAAAUAAUAUUAUAAGAAAAAAAUACGAACAUACUUCGCACGUGGGCGCACCAAUGUUUUAGAUGAAAAGUUGGGAAGGUAGUAGAGUCGAAAUCUAAUGUAUGUCUGUACGCAACGAUUAACCAUUGCUAACGAAAAUACAAUUCUGAGAGGAGUUCGAUUGAUAGUAUUACUUUGUCAACAACAUACAUGUCAUAUAACGGGAAAAUAAUCACGUCAUAUGCAUUAUAUAAUUUCUUCAAUAAUAUUUGUUCGAUAUUGUACCUAUUUUCCCAUUUUUCCUACGUUUUUUUCCCCGUGUUUUUUACCGGAUUUUCCCAUUUUAUUGGUAAAAGAAAUAUAAAUAUUAAUUUCGUUAAUAUUGUACAAUAUAAUACAAAUAAUAAUAAUAAUAAUACUGGUAGACAUUAUAAUAUAGAUGAUUAGAAGUUAUACAAUUAUAUUAUAUUAUAGACCUACCGUCAUAGAACUUUCAUCAUUCAAUAAACUAUCAUGUUAUAACGGUGAAACAAAGACGAUAAUAUUAUGGCACGCAUAUAAUAUUAUUUUAAAAGAAAUUAUUGAUUUCAUAUCAAAAAAAAUCGGGCAUUAUGGGCACCCUGUAUAUAUAUUUCCGAUCCAUAAUAGAUUUAAAUCGUCCAAAAAGGUUUAUGCGUGCGAAACUAAUAUAUUGCAAUGCGAAGAUGACUUUCUGUCAAUUAUAAUAUAAUCAUUAUAUUAUUAUGCAUUUGUGUAUGUAUUUAUUAAGAAGAAAAUACAUUUUUCAUUUUCCGCGCCGACUAUUGUCUCCGCGCGGAUAUACGUAUAUAGCGGCAACGUGAGUGGACUGCUAUUAAUAUUGUCUUUCAACUGUCAGUGUAGUAGGCCGCGGUACGAGUCUCUGUAGAUAAAAUGAUUCCGUUUGUUGUACGUAGGAUAAAAGAGAUGAAGGACGCCGGUGACGAGCGGUUGGAGAGGGACAAAUCAAUAUCAUCACUGUGUACGCGAACCCGGGUAUUGUAUAACAAUAAUUUUUCGAGAUUAGACCGAAAAAUAUGUGUCUCGAAGGCUCUCGGCCACAAUAAAUGUAUAUAAUUAGAUAGAUAUUAUAUUGACGAAUGUUUUUCAGGGGAAAGGUGGAGCGGGGAGAGAGUGGGUGAAGGCGCGGGAAAAAAUUGCUCUACUUUCAUUUUUCACGGACGAUUGACCAUCAAUCAAUUCCCGUGGCUCGGUUAUCAAUCAACGUUGGGUCAGCCACUACUACCCACCCUGUAUAUCCGCCAUCGUCCGGCCUACCGGGAAUUUCGAUUUAAUUUAUUUCGGACGGGUGUCCGAUAUAAACGAGCCAGCUUGCAAGUUCUACGCCGCCGUACGCGUGAGUAGAAGGGGUAGCGGCGGGUAGUUCUCGGGCAUAAUUAGGAAAAUGGAAGUUCCUGCAAAUAUACACUAACUGAAAUCAAGUACUUUUGAAAAAUUGACUUUUAUUCGAUUGGUCAGCAGAGACCAUCGAUGAGCAAUACAGCUAAACUGUUUUUAAUGGCUCACCGCCGCCGGCUUGGCACGGUCCGUACACGUGACAGUUUGACGCGUUCGAAGAUUACAAAGUGAUAAACUCUCGCUUGGAUUUUAAUAUUAUCAUCGGGCACGCAAACUUGUUCGAGAAAUUAUAUUAUAAUAAUAAAUCCGGCAACAUUGAAUUGAGACAAGAAUACACAAACAAAUGUUUAUGGGUUGAGUUCGGCCUAUAAGCGCUGUAAAGAGACACUUCCCCAAUAAAUGUAUGAAUUCCUGCGAUUGAUUAUUUCAUUUUUAAUAAUUUUUAGAAAAUUUGUCAAUUUUUAUUGAAUUGUGGACUGACGUUUAAAUUAUACAGAUUUUAAAAAUCCAACUUUAUAAAUGUGUUUAUAAUAUUAUUUUUACUACAAAAUUUGUUUCAAUAAAAGCUUUUUCCACUGAUAUUUAUUAAUUUAUUUUUUGUAUUCUUGUUUCCUUAUCAUUGCUACGUAAUUUUAUAGGUAUAUCUUUCUAUUUUCCUAAUAGUAAAAUAUCAACAACAAUUGACUAUUUCUAUUGACAAAUUCUAUGUAAUUCACUUUAAGUGAAAACUUUCACGGCUAUUAUAGUAUUGGUCACCAAUCAACAUACUUAAUAAACGUUCAGAAAUAUCUUAUCUCCUGAAUCGAUUCAAACAUUAACAUUAUAUAAAAAGUACACCAACCUGAACGCUUAAAGUUAGUCUGAGAGACUCAGUUCAGUAUCGGCCAAGAAAUCACGAUUCCCACUUUUUCAUAUUCAUAUAAUAAUAUAUUUGUUUGAAGUUCGUAUAUAAGUUUCGUUACAUUAUAAAUUAUAAUUUCGAUCAAAUUAAUUGACUAUAUUACACGCGAAUAAUCCGCUUAGAGCCAUACUGUUAUAAUGAUAUCGUAUGUCCUAGAAACACAUUUAUUAUGUAUACGGUCUAAAACACAAUAAUAAUUUAAGUAAAACAUUUUACCGCAACUUGCUGCAUUAUUGAUCAUUACGGUUGACCGCAUGCAGCCAGAUGGCACAUACAGUACAAUAAUGCUCGUUCUACUUGUUUAUAAGAUAUUAUAUGAUAUAACUAUCACAUAUAUUUUAGUUUCGUGUUCACCACGACAUAAUGUUUAAGUAGUACAAAAACUAAAAUAUAACAUCAUAUCAAUGAAACACUGUUACGAGUAAAAUAUAAUUCGGACGUUUUUAAUUCCCAUCAAGAUUCGUAUAAAAAUACUAUUGAUUUGAUUUCAGAAAUAUUGCAAUACAAUGUUUUUUAGAUUUUCAAGUAUAGCACCUUUUCUAAAAAAAAAAAAAAUCGUGGUAUUUUUUAGAGGUAAUUUUUUUUCUUGUAGUUUUCAUAAUACAAUUGUGUAUAACCGGGUUAAAAAUCUGUAUAAAAUAGUUGAGAUCCAUACAUAUAUGUUAUUUAAUUUCAAUAUAUACAUAACAUUUAUAAAAAAUGUUUAAUCUAAAUCGAAUUAUGAUGAUAAUAUAUACAUGGUAUACAUAUUAAAUGAAAAUAAUAUGGAAAAGAGUAAUACAAACGUAGUGCAUAUUUUUUUAAUAUAUUUUAAAACAAAAAAAUAACUAAAAUCGAGUGGAUGCGCUUGAAAAAUGAUUUGCAAAACGAAAUACAAUAAUAAUUCGAUUACAUUUUAACCUUUUAAACUAAUUGCAAAAGGAUAAGUUUGAUCUUUUCAAUUACGCGUAUUUACAAGUACAUGCAAAAUUCAACAGUAUCCAUCAUGUGUUUAAUAACAACGUGGUAAAAGUUCGAAUAUAAAUUAUACAUCACAACCAUGACAAAAGAUUUUUUUGUUAUUAUUAUUAUUUUUUUACUAUUUGAAUUUAAAUAUAUCCUGCACACAUCAUUUUAUAUAUAACUGAACCGUACAUUUUAUGUCAGAUUAGCCUUAUCCGUUCCAUAUUGUAAUAAAUAUUAUUUUAUUCCCCGAGACGAAUUCUAUUUGCAGGUAUUAUUUUUCAUGGUUUAUUUUUUGAAUUAAUUGAAAAUAUUGUCUAUAGUAUGUUUACAACAUAAAACUAUAAAAAAAAAAAAAAAAAAACUGAUAAAAGGGGAGAACAAUAUUAGAAAGCAUUAAUCUUAAGUCCCACAUCUAUACUCUAUAUCUCAUAGUGUGUGUGUGUUUAUGUAUAUGAAAAGAAAAAACAACAAAGAUAACGGCAAAGUUAAAAAAUAUAUAAUAUUAAUUUAAAUUAAUUGGCAGUUUUAACAAUGUUAGUUCGAAGCAACUAAAGGCGGGAGACAUACAGUCUAUAAAUAUUAUAGUUUGUCCAUAACUUACAGUAAAUACCAACAAAAAAUAAUAAUUUCCAAACUCAAUAUAUUACCUAUUUAUAAAUUAUUAAUCAUUUUUUUUUCCGUUGCUUUUUUUUCCUAAACUCAUACAAACAGCUCAAAAAUGACAUAAAUGUUUUAAAAAAUUUAAAACAUCUAAAAAGUCAAAUAUAAAUUUUAUGUUCAAAUUUCAAGUUUUCACGAAUAUUUUUUACUUAAUUAUAACAAUAAAACAAAAUUAAAUAUAGUAAAAGAUAUAUUUUUGUAGAAUUUCCCAUUCAUUAUUCGUUUUUUUUUUUUUCGGUUUUGCUUAAUUAUUAAAAAAAACUUUCUUGGCCUCCAAGAUUAAAAAUGCAACAAAAAAAGUAUCUCGUUGUCUUUCUAUUGGAGCAAAAUUUCUAGUAAAAAAUAUAAAGCGUACAAAUUUUAAACAAUAAAAUUGUACGCUGUAAAUUGGUUCGUCUUUCAUUUUUCAUCUUUUUCCGGUUUCCUAAUUAUUAUGAAAACUGAUCGAAAAAUCAAAUACAACUUUCUCCGUAAGUAUCUAGAUCUAAAAUUCAACAAAAAAAAGUCUCUUGGUAUUUUUUUACGAAAACAAUAUUUCUGGUAGAAUAUAUAGUUUACAAAAAUUAAAAACAAUAAAAUCGUCGGUAACGCUACGGCGCGGUGGAAUGAUCCUAGCUACACAUAACCCCAAAUGGAAGAAGAAGAAAAUGAAUUUAAAAAUAAUAAUAGUAAGUCAAGGUCUUUUAACAAAUGAAGACAAUAAAAUAUAAUGGGUACUUAAUGAAACACCCGACAAUUAAGUCACAAUUUUUUUCCUCACAAUAAACUCACCGUACAAAAAAAAAAAAAAAAAGUUUAAUUUUUUCUACGGCAAUAAGGUUCGCGAUACCUGAACAUAAAACAAAAAACCGGUGAGAAAAACGUCAAGUAUAGAAGAGUAACAGUUAGAGGAGUUACUUUCCGUGAGCGAACCUACGUUUAAAAACAAUAUCACACGGCAACGUGUAUAGGCAAUAUCGCUACACGUACGCGUACAACGUAAAGUUUGAAAUAGUUCUCGAAGAAGAGAUAUUAUAAUCCGUCGGAUUAUAAUAUUAAUUAUCUUUACUAGAGAUAGUAUGUUGAUAACCCUUGCAUUCUGUACAACGUUGUCUUAGUUAAAAGUUUUGCUUGUUGUCAGUUUAAUGUUUGUGUUUAAAAUAUCAAUAACGUACACAUGCGAUUUAUUUGUCAAAACGUACUUUAAACAACUCUAAAACCACUAAAAUCUCUAAUACUCAAUAAUAAAAGUGUUUUCAACUAAAUGACUAAUGUAAAAUGUUAUUAUCAUUAUAAAUGUGUAAACCAUGUUUUUUUUUAAUUUUUUUUUUUUUUUCAUCAUUUAAUUAUUAUCUAUAUUCAAUUACACGGCUAGAGUUCGCGACUUUCCUUACGUCGUCUACUAAACACUUUCUAUUCCAUUGCAAAAAUAUUGUUUGUACGCAGUCGGUUCGUUUACUAUCAUAAUGUAAUACGUACUAUUAUAAAUCAUUCGGUCUGUACAAAUACAGUAAAUGCACGCAGUGAAAGUAAUAUAUAUAUAUAUACAUGUAUAAUAUUGUAUCAUACACGGUUUAUGGAGUAUUAUUUUCUUUUAAUGAACCUACAAAUGUCGCGCGACCAAUAAAAACUUGUAUAGGACCUUUUAGUUUUUUUUUUUUUUUUCAAAUGAAUUGCCGCCUUUCCCGUUCACAAAUUCAGGCCAUCAAUAUACAACGGUAUACUAUGUAAUAAUUGCGCUCAUAAAUGUUUCUACAUUUAUUUCUAUAACAUUAUUUAUUUUAUUCAUGACGCUGAACAAUAAAAAAAAAUAAUCAUUAAUAUUCUAUUUUACUAGAAAUGUCAUGUAGAUUUAUUUUUUUUUUUUUUUUUUUUAUCAUUUAUGCACUCUCGUGCACAAAGUUUAAAAAAUAUGGACAUAAUUCGCACAAUGUGUGGGCCACUGUUGUANACCUACAAAUGUCGCGCGACCAAUAAAAACUUGUAUAGGACCUUUUAGUUUUUUUUUUUUUUUUUUUUUUAUCAUUUAUGCACUCUCGUGCACAAAGUUUAAAAAAUAUGGACAUAAUUCGCACAAUGUGUGGGCCACUGUUGUAGGUGAGAAGUUUGGAAGGUAAGAUAUAGAGGGGAAUUUAAUAUACGUAUAUCUGUAUAUAACGAUUAAUCAUUGCUAAUAGAAAUAAUUCUGAGUGGCGAUUUUAAAACACGAUUACAUGUUUUAAAAGGCCUUAAAGUUUAUAAUUUUCGUGAAAAUUUAAUAUUAAAAUUCUCAUACAAAUAACAAUACUAAAUUAAACUCAACUUUUUCUAUUGACCACAAAGCAUAAUUUAUAAUGAUCCUGUUAAUUUUCCAAGCAUUUUUGUUUGGUCUAACACUUUUAUCCACAGAUUACCAAUAAAAAUUACCUAAAAACCUUGCAUAAUUAAAACGUCUAUAAAAAGCUCAAAAAUAAAUGAAGUGUUCUAAAAAUAGUCUUAAAAGACCAAUAUAAGUUUUUUGUUUAAAUUUUAAGUCUCUAUGAAUAUUUUUAACUAAAUUACAAUAAAAAAACAAAGUUGAAGAUAAUCAAAUAAAACAUUAUUUUUAUUGAUUUUUCCGUUUUUCCUACGUUUAGUCUAAUUAUUAAGAAAAUAUGUUAGGAAAAUCUAACUAAGGAAAAAAAUUUCUUCACAGAAAUGGUGCUACAUUUGAAAAUCGGAGCAAGAUUUCUGAUUGAAAUUUAGUACACAGUAUUUAAAAAAAAAGUUAUAAAAAAUUAACAUUGGAAAACAAUACAUUCCUCACUAUGCUUAGAAUCUAAAAUUACAGAUUAUUUAAGAGUUUAUUUGUGUAAUACGGUAUAGCAAAUCAGAACUAUUUUUACGAAAUCGUCUAUACCUCUUUACGAACUGACCUUGCAAUGUUGGGUUUUUAAUGUUUUAUACAUUUCGGUUACACUUUUGAAUUUCGAACAUUUUAACUUAAAGCCAUUUCUAAGAUUUAUCAGUUUUAAAAGUAAUCUCCUUAAAAAAAAAACUAAACAAAAGUCCUUUAGAAAAACGGGGCUAACGAAAGUAGAAGCACCAAGAGAUAGAAUCUCAUUCUCUUUUUCUUUUUUUUUUUUUUUUUAUAUAUAUAUAUUUAUAUAAAUUGGUAAAGUAUUUUUAAAAAAUGAUGGAGAAGGGGAAAUAAAAGUAAACACAACCAUUAGAGGAAAGAAUGUUUUUUUUUUUUAUACUAAAGAAAAAAGUUAAAAUUAAAAAUAAUUUUUUUUCCAUAAACAAUAAAAUAAUUUAUUCGCAUUAACAAUAUAUGUUAUAAACGUGGAAAUUUAACUUUUAAUGUUUUUAAUUUGUUUCGUGUUUAUUUAAAUUGAUUAGUGAGCUUUCAAUAAGCAGUUCAAUAGUAUUACACAAAUAUUUUAAGCAGUGACAUUAUAUAAAAAAUUAUCAAUACGCUAAAUAAACAAGGUUAUGUUAAGUUAAUGGAAUAAAAUAUAGUAUGCCUAAAAAAUGUUUACAAAAUAAAAUCAAAGGAGAUAAUACUAUUGAUAAAUCAUUACAAAACAAAUAUGAUUCUAAGUGAAAGUCGGUUAACCAUUUAUUGAUAAAUUUUAAUCAAAAGCUUUUAUGCUCCUUUCUUUUUCUUUUACCCAUAAUAUGAGCUUAUAACGGAUCAUAAAAUACCACUCUCACUAAUAUUAAAAAAGAAACACACCGAUUAUAAAUAUUGACAAAUACCUAAUUAGGUAAUGAAUUACAAUAAAUAACUAAAAAACUAACGAAUAUAUGUAAGUUAAAGUAAAUAAGUUGUCUCAGAUACUAUUUACGUCUGAAAAAUAUUAACUUAUAAGUAUCAAAUAUACUUAGAAAUAUCAAUUUACAACAAUGAUUUUCUUACUUGCUGAUUCACAAUAAUAUUGAUUUUUACGAAAACUGGCAGCGUCGUAGCAUAAAUAAUACAAUUAUUUUCAAAAGUACUUGGAAUUUUCAAAAAAUGUCUUAAGACAACAACUAUAUAGAUUCAAAACAUGUCAUGGAUGGUUUAAAGAAAAUUAGUGGCUGAGCGAUGUCAAAGCGAUAGAAGUUGCUAAUUUCUGGAGAAAUGUCUUGAAAAGAACAUUCUAAUAACAAUAAGUCUGGAGCAAUUAUUAUUCUGGUCGAAAUGGAAAAUGUUGGCGAUGGAUAAAGAUAACUGGAAGAAUGGUUGUGAAUCAAAUCGAUGGUUUCUAAAUGCAGAAUAAUCCUGAGUAACAAUAAUAUACAUAGAGUAUAACAUUAGUAUAAGUAUUUUAUACCUGCAUAAAGUAUGUGUAUAAUAAAUAAAUAUAGCUAAUAAAGUAUUCAUAUUAUCAAUGUUGUUGUUGUUGUUUUUUUUUUUUUUUUUUAUCUAUUAUCGUAUUUAUAAUUAAUAAGUUAUAAUAUUCGUCUGUCCAAAUGAAUAUAUUCUUCUAUAUUACACGAAUUGUUCGAAAUUAACAAAAAUACUAAAAGCGCUAGUUGCGGUAAUGGAAAAUAUUUUUUUAAAUUUGAAUUUAUAUCAUAAAAUGUAACAACACUGAAUAUUAUUUUUAGGCGACUACCUGAUUGCGGCGUAUAUAACUGUUACAGUAUAUAUAUUUAGGCGUGUGUAGGGGGGGGGUUGGAGAUUAACCCCUUAAACCAAAAUUCAAAAUUCAAAAAAAAAAAAAAAAAAUGCUAAUUUCAGUGGAUCACAAUACACUAGUUCUAUAGUGAAAAUUUGUAAUUUUUUUCCCAAACUGUUCACGACUGCAGCAUUGUAUGACAUACUGGUAAACACCUGGCUAUAGUACGAACAUUUUCGUAUAGGUAGGUAUGCGUGUGUGUGUAUAUUUAUUAUUAUUAUUAUAACUACACGAUGUUCACAUUAAAUUUAAAAGCAUUAUUCACGUUAUUAUAAACCGUAUACAUAUACAUAUACAUAUAUAUAUAUAUAUAUAUAUAAUAAUUUACGUUCGUACAUUCGUUUACCCCGGUGUACGUUAUUAUCAUUAUGUAUUUGGUUCCAUAUAUGGUGUAUAACUACGCAUGUAUAAUCGAACCAAUGAAAUCAUAAAUGACGUAGGUAUAUAGACUAUGUGUAUAAUAUAACACGGGUACGUACGCGUAUACGCGCGUGUGUGCGUGUGUGUGCGUGUGUGCGUGUGUGUGUGUGUGCGUGUGUGUGUGUGCGCGUGUGUGUGUGCGUGUGCGUGUGUGUAUGUGUGUUAUUAUUCAUAGUAAAACAUCAAGUGGAUCCAUUAAAUCAUGUCAACGGGAGAACGUAAAUUGUUAUUACCGUGACAUGCGUAUACAACACACGCGCUCGCGUAUCGUAUAUUGAACACGAGUGAGUAGGGAUCGGGCGACAUUUUAUAUACAUAAUAUUAUUAUUAUUAUUAUUAUUAUUAUUAUUAUUAUAUAUUAUGACGUAUAUAGCAUUAAUAAUCGUUUAUUAUAUUCUCUAAAGUAAAUUAUUAUAUUAAUAUUCAAAGCUGGGGACGGUAAUUGCAUAGGUAGUAAAAACGUUGAGUUGUAAAUUGUUGCUAUUUUUUCGUUACUUUUUGACGUGACUAAUAAAAUUUGAAAAACAAAUAAAAUUUUACGCACAAACAGCUUUAACUUAAUGUUAUUAUUGCCACAAGGUUUAAAACCCGUUACCGACUGAAAUAAAAAAAUAUCCAGCGUUCUGUUACGGAACUUGUUAAAACUGUUUGCCGGUUAAUGUAAGAAUGUGUACGCGAACAAAACCGAACCGAAUUUCAACCGUACAUACAUUUCAAACGUAUACUAUUAUUAAUAGUAAUUAAGCGUUUGAAAAGUUUGCCGAUCGCGAAUCGGUCCCGAGGAACAAUAUUGUAAAUAAAUAACAAUCGCGGACUAUAAUGGACAGGAAACGACAAAAUGGAUGGUCGAUGGGGAAAUAAGCCGGCUAAAAUUCCUGACUGACUUGACUAUUUCUUGACACCGACAGGGCGAAAUUUUUAUAAAAACAUCAAAUUACCGUUUUAGUAUUAUUGAUAUUAUAUUAUAUAAUUACCGUGCAAUUUUAUAUUAGGUUUUUCAUUCAAAAUUCUCGAUUAUAGAUUAAUCAUAAAGAAAGAUCUACAUUCCAGAGAAAAUAUGUUGGAAUUCAAAAUAGCUAGAAAAAAAAUAAUAAGGUAAUUGGUAAUUUUCAUUCGAUGAAUGUAUAAACACAAUUUUAAAUAAAUAUCUUUUCAGUUUUCAGUUAUUUUUGUCCUGGAAAUUCGUUGCAGAACUUAUAAAUAGUCAAUUCCAAAAUAUCAUAUUCUUUAUUUUUUUUUUUUAAAUUACAUCAAACUUAGUUUCAAAAAAAUUUGUUUAUCCAGCUCUGAUAAUAUUAUAUACACUAUUUUCCGAGUAAACCUAGGUACCUGGGUAUUAUAGUUAUAAUUAUUUUAAUUCGAUUUAAAAAUGUAUAAAAAAAAUUAAUAAACAAAAAAUAAACAAAUUUUGUACAAUAUGCGAUUUGUCUUUUGCCACGAGAAACGAUUAUAAUAAUAUCCAUGAAGAUUCCGAGUAAAAUUUACUUCGAUUUUUAAUUUAGAAGAAUCGUUUGGCGACUGCAGUUACAAUAUUUUCAAAAUGUUAUCCUUAUUUCCGUAGAUACACGGUAAACACAUAUCAAUUUUGUUUUUUAACAUCCCCUCCCGCAUUUCAUAACAGAUUUGAAAAUUAAAUUUUGCCAUGCACAAUAACAAACUAUAUUUUCAACAGAUAUACUGUGUAUAAUAUAGGUUUACGUUUUAAGACCAAACACAAUUUAGAUCGGAGGAACGGUAUAAUGAAUUGGUUAUCCAUUUUCAGACAAUAACCGUUUUCUAUUUCUCCACUCCGGUCUAAAUUCGAUAAAGAUUGAAAAAGCGAUAGCAAUCAUUCAACAUUUUCGUAGAGAAUUGCUGAAUCCUGUUUAAAAAUAAAAUCACCCUGAAUACUUUUUUGUACCGACCAUCGAAUUUGUUUGUUCUUUUCAAGGAUAUACAUUUAUACAUAAAAAAAAUAUUUGAGCUAUUUGCUUCGAGAGAUAUUUAAAAGUAAAACAAUCAUGAAUAGUUUUAUGUAUCUACUUUAAUGUUAAAAUAAUAAUGACAAUAGUAAUAACACGUUCAAUGGCCAUAGAUUUGUUUUAUAAUAAAUAAAAAUAAGAUUAAUAUUCUACAUAAAGUAUAGCCAUUUGGUUUUUAUUUUUUCUGUCCAUUAAUAACAUUAAAACCAGAAUCAAAAAGCAGAUAUCUAAAAAAAGGUCACUAUUCUGACCCACUCUCGAAUAUUUCCGAUCUAUAUAUGUACCAAACCUAACUAUGCAUAUAUUGUAGAACUUCCUCUCUAUACACAAUAUCCGCAACCGUAAAAUCUACUGCUUAUUUAUGAUAAUAAUUAUAAUAAUCUAGCGAGAGUAUAAUAUGGUAGGUAGGAUAGUAAUAUUAAGUUACAAUCGCGUAAAAUGUGGAUGACGUAUAAUAGUGGUGUACGUAUUUAAAGUGCAUUAAGUAUGUCACGGCAAGUACGAUAAAGUGUCUCGUUACGGCUGCUACAGAUUAAUUUCGACAAGCAACAACAACAAUACGAACGUAUAAAAUCUCUGUCGUCGUGUACUGCUGCAAUGCAAAUUUAAUUAUAUGGAAAAAAAGAUUUUUUAUUAUGCACAGGGUGCGACAACUAUUUUUUUUUUUUUUUUGAUUUCCGCAUUUUCUUCGUUUAAUCAGAAAAAAAAACGAAAACGAAAAAAAACGGAUGGUAUUCCGCUCCAGUGUGUCACGAAUAAAACAUUAAAACGAAAUAUUGUCUCAGCUGGGUGACGAGGGUCAGGGGUCACGAGAACUGGCGAUACGUGUGAAAAUAUUAUGCAGACAUUAAUAUGUAUAACAUGUUUGGAAUAUAUGUACGUCAAAAUAUAAAACGGACUAUUUACAAUAUAAGUAUAAUAAUAUGUAAAACAUAAAAUAACGCAUGCACGGUAGGUAUACAAUAUACAUAUUAUAAUUUUGGAUACAAACUUAGGUAAGUAUAGACAUUUUUAACGAGACAUUAUUGUAGAAUUGUCUGAUUUGUUUGGUAAAGCUUACACUACAAAUUAUAAAAUAUUUGAAUUUGACAUCAUUUUUUCUAAUAGUUUGACGGGUACAGAAUAUAUUAUAUAGGUAAAUAUUAUAAUGUAUAUUACCGAUGAGCGAUGGAAGCGGAGGAAAAUUAGAGAUCAUGGGGGAUAGAGAUAAUUUGGAGAUUGUCAAAAAAUAGAAAACUUCGAUAGGCUGGACGUGCGCGCCAAAGCUAAAGCCCACUACUACGGAUAGUGUCAGAACAGAACCCAACAUGAAAAAGAUCGAAGUUGAGACAGGAAGACGUAUAGGAAAAAAGAAGUUGUAGCCUUGUAAGAACUUUGGGAGAAGAACCGAAUAUUGGAAGAUUUUGGCGAUUAAUGACGAAACGGUACUAGAGACACAAUAGUCCCCUCCCCCUUCCAAAAAAACCAAUUAAACCUAAAUGUUAAAAUAACGCUUUCGUAAGAUGUGUUACGGUUUUUUAAUCAUAUAAUAAUCAAAUAUACGUCUCAUUCAACAUAAUAUUUCACAUAUAAUAGGACAUCAUAAUAAUAACACGAUAAUAUAUUAUUAAACUUUACCGCUCAAACGUAUAGAAAAUCGAAAAGAAAAAUAGUAGAUUGGUAGUUGAUUUUUUUAAUUUCGUAAAUCUUUAGAGACAGAAUAAACACUAAACGAAUAGUUAUGUCAAAUAAAAAACAAAAAGUAUAAAGUAUUUAAUUUUAAGAAAAAAAAGAGAAAAAGUUCUAAACGGAAAUACGUGACAGUUUUACAAUUCAGGUAUCCCGGUUAAAAAAAAAAAAUAGCUUACUGAACUAAAUAAUAUGUAACGAUUUUUGUUAAUUAGUAGUAUGUACAAACGAAACUUAUUUUUAGUUUUUAUAUUUCACAUAUUUUACAUAUUACAAGAUAUAUCGAUGUAAUCAAUACACAAAUUUAUCAAAACUAAGCAAAUUGGAAUUUCAGAAAAACGCAGUUCGGUGGAUUCAGCAUGAUGUACCCGAAAUUGCAAAUAUUAUAAUUUUUAAUAUCAAAUAAGAACAAAAAUGUAUAUUUUCCAAAUAAGUUACUUUAUAGCUAAUAUACAAACGUCUAAUAGCCAAAUAAGAACCUGCAUAGUGUACCUCUUGUUGCGUUAGUCUAACGGUUAAACGUAAUUUCUGUAUAAUUUAAAUUGUAUUUUCUUUUUUUUUAACAAAAAACCAAUAACCUUAACCACCGUAUUUAAGUUAAAAAAAUAAUAUAGAAAUAUUUUUAAACGAACGAAAAACAACGAAAAAUAAGCAACAAAUUAUACAAUAUGUUUCUCCAGUUUCCAGUAGUCUUUUUUUUUUUUUCAAUUCAUAAUCGCAAGAUAUAAAACCGUCUAAAGAUUAAAAAAUUUGAUUUUUUUCACAGUUAUUCAAAAUAUUUGAACCCGAAGUGAUAAAUAUUUGUGUAUGAUAAUAUAAACUGACCAUCAUAAUUUUUGCAUCGAUGUCAAUAGUAAUAUAUUAUCGAUAGGUCAGCAUUUAUUUCGAUUGUGUUAAAUUGCAAUAAUAUUAUUUAACCUCAUCGUCAUAAAGUUUGUCCAAUCAGAGCGAUGAUAAAAUAAUAACAAUAAUACCUACUGAUAACCCGGAAUAAUUGAUGAGUGCACGCGUUUAAAAUGUAGGUAUAUUUCAACAGAGACCGGCCAAAGGGGUGGUGGUGGUGGCGGCGUUUAUGGGUAUUAAGGGUGUAUUUAUUCCACCGAAAUUACUAUUUGCAACGUAUUAGCGAAGAGUAAACAAAAAUUCAAUUCCAGCCGCUUUUCGUCGCACGGAGUUUAAUUUGAUUUUUUAAUAAAACGGCUAGACUGCCGCGUGCGUGUGUUUAUACGUGUAUGUGUGUGUGUGUGUGUGUGUGUGUGUGAGUGCGUAUGCGUGUGUAUAUGUGUGUGCAUGUACGUGUACGUGUGUACGCGUGUCUGUUCGUGUGUGUGUGUGUAUAUAUGUGUGUGCACGUGGAACGUUGACGUCACUCUUAUUGCCGUUUGAAAUUCUACAAAGGGUGCGAACGGGCGGUGGCGGCGGUGCGACACGGGGCGGGCGGCUUUGCCGGGCGAGGAGAGGCGUCGGUAGCGAGGUGUCGCCAGGGGACAGUCGAUAAAAUGCGGCGAUAACGGUGCGGGUCACGCAAUCCGAGUGUGAACUCCUCUUUGAUUAUACUUUUUGCCCCCCCUCCUGCAGCGGUAUAUACAUGUUUUACUGCGACGUUAUACCAUUUCCCUACGCGCGCGCGCUCACACACACACACACACACACACACAUACAUACGAAUACGGAAAAACACACAAACGAACGGACACACUGCCGCCCCCGAGCAUAAAUCUCGCUAUUCAAUUUAAAGACUUCGUUGUAUUAAUGUAAUGAAGACCGUGAAAGAAGAAGAAAAAAAAAAAAUACACCGAACAUACCGAAUGGACUGCACGUGUGCGUGCGUGUGUAUACGGGCGAUUCGGCUACACCGGUCGAAAUUCGCGAUUGGCUUUAUGGCGGCGGCGGCGACGGACUGUGUUACGCGAGCGACGCGCGGCUGCAAGAAGGACCGGAGAUCGUUCGUCGAACUGCGCGAAAUUAACAUCGCGAUAGGUCAAUAUAUUAUCGCGGGGGCGCAGGUGAAACGCGGGGAAAUAAUUAGUGCCCGGGCCCACGGGCGCCCGGGAAGGGGGCUGGGCAAAAGGGGGGAGGGAAGGUCUGCCGCUUCAGAAUUUCAAACAUAGUUUUAACGAUUAAUCGAUAUUGUUUUAUUUUACGUAUAUUUUGGUGUUCGGUUUCGCCGUGCCCGUCCCUAAUAAAUUUCCCGCGGGCGCAUUUAACGGCCGAGCCGAGAUUAACAUCGGCCGACAUCGGUACUGUAUUGCGGGUAUUGGGCACUUUUUUUUCUCGAACCCAUAGACAAAACCGAUACGUAAUGAUUGGCGGUUAUAUAUAACGGACACUUUAAUGCCGAGGUGUAUUUAUAUGGAGGCCGUGCGAUAAAUAGCUGUUACGUUUAUUCGGACUAUUGCAGUAUUUUGAUUUGUCAAUGGUAUUAUCGAUUGUCCUUGCAUAAAUCGAAUGAGAUGUUUUGACAGAUGUAACAUAAUGAUUUUUAUCAGUUUUUGGAAAAGUAUAUGGGUUUUUUUUUUUUGUUUUUUUUUUCAUAUAUAUUCGUGGGUCCGAGGAAAUAUAAUGUCGGUUAUCGGAUAUCGGAAAAAAAUUGAUAACAGCUCAGAAAAUAACGCACAAGUAUGUAAUAAUCGGGAAAAUAAUAAUAAUAUUAUCGGUUUUUAAAAAUAUUUUCGUUGCUUCGUAAAGCGGACGUUUUCACAUCGUACUUUUUCCCCGGGUAACCUGUCCGAAGUGGUUCUACACGGCAAAUCGGUGAUUAUUUUCGAUUAAAAGUCCGGCCCGAGUGCGUGAUCGAGUUGGAGAGAGAAGCGAGCCACGUGUUAAGACUGGGAACCGUUGGUCCCAUGCUAUGCAAAUAAAAUUUCCGAAUAUUAUUUUCCGGAUUUUAUACCGCCCCCCCCCCCCCUCGCCACCAAUUAUUAUUACGUCGAAAGACAUCUGAACACCUACGUAGAAAUAAUAUAUUAUACAGUGUACAAUUGAAAUAUUUAAAUAGUGAUUCCAUUUAAUUAUCGUCUCAACAUCCGCGAAAUGCGAAUCAAAUAAUUAUUAUGCGUUCGAAAUAGCAUUUUUAUUUUUGAAAUGAUAACAACAAUAAUUACGCGUUAUUACGCGAAUCCCGUCGCGUCAUCUGCCCCGCUAUUAUAAUAUCAUUAUGCAUCUCAAGACAAAAAAAAAAUAAUAAUAAUAAUAAACGGUACGCUGCUUAAAAUUAUGAUAAUAUUGUUUUUAAACGAUAUUACAUUUUUUUUUUUUUUUUUUUUUUUUUUUUUUUAGAUUCCGAGUGUAGCGAAUAAGAAACAAUUCGUCUUACUGAGAUGUGCUUUUUUUCUCGGAAAACUCUUUUUCGGUUCGUAAAAUAUGCUACGGUUUCUUCAUAGUAUACCCCAAACGAAUCAAAAUUCCGGCUCGGUAGUACUUUAUUCGAAACAAAUGUUUGGGUUGUCAACAAUUUUACAAAAAAUUUUAAAAAUCUGACGACAAUAAACGGUGAUUUUAUUUUUGUUUAUAAAACCGGAUUAUCAUGGCUAUAUACACGGGCAAAAAGUCACGGCUAUUACUAUAACGUCACUGUUUUACAGAGUUCCGGUUAGAAUUUUUUUUUUAAUUGCGAUUGUUAAUCGUUGCUUACAGUAUGGUUUAUAUAUAGAGCGUAAGUUGGAGUAUACACCCUGUAUCGUAUACCUUCCAAAAAGUGAAACACGAUUGCAUACGACAUUAUCUGAUUUUUGAUUGCAAUAGGGCACCCAGAAGGAGGGCUUUGGCACUAAAACCCUACCUAUUUUUUUUUUUUUUAUAAGCUUACACAUUAUUCUGGAAUAUGGAUUCGUU